CUUACCUGUCAGAAAGGGGUUCCGGGUCUUUGCAGCCUGGGGUGCCUUGACCAACGAGUCAAGGUUGACCAAGGAAGAGGCCGAGGGGCCCAGGAAGGACUCGGGAGUCCGGCAAGCUCGGGCCUCUUUGCUUGGCUGGGCAGGGACAUGCUGAGCAAGUGAGUGCAGCGAGAGAACAUUUGCUGCGUUUCCUAGGAGCUGGGCCCUUCAGACAUUCUCCAUAGCCCUCACUAUGAAAGCCCGUCCCACAGGCGGCGGAGGCUCAAGGUGAUACCUAUGCAUGAUCCCUCACCUUGACAUAGUGCUUUACAGUUUAUAAUGUUUCUUCAUCCACAGAGUACCUGAUUUUCAUAACAACCCUGUGAGGUCAGUGUCCAAGAGAAAUUGGCCACAGUGAACGUGGGCGGAAAGGAGACCACAGCACCCGGGCAUGACAUGGACAGCUUUGGAGGGCAGCCUUGCACUCAGCAGCUGCCCACUCCCCGUGUGGAGAAAAUACGUCCGUGAGCCCGAGGUGUUUUCAGCACCAUGUGCCUGGGCCCACCUUAGUCUUGAUCGACAGCAUCACACAAUCCUAACAUGUCAGAGCUGGAACUAUCCAAUAAGCACACUGUGCAGAAGGGGAAACUGAGGCCAUGACAGUGACAUGCCCCAAGUCAUAGAGUAAGUGGCAGCAAAUUCAGAACCCAAAUCCAGGGGUCUCUGAUCAGGAUCCCUAUGCAUCCCACUUUGCUGUUAACUCAGUCAUCAGCCCAUGCAGGGUGGGACUAGGGCUGCUACACCCCCACACCUAUUUCAUCUAAUAAACAUGUCAGUGCUUACUAUAUGCCAAGCA